GAUGAAGAACGCAGCGAAAUGCGAUAAGUAAUGUGAAUUGCAGAAUUCCAGUGAGUCAUCGAAUCUUUGAACGCACAUUGCGCCCUUUGGUAUUCCGAAGGGCAUGCCUGUUCGAGCGUCAUUAUCACCCCUCAAGCCCUCGGCUUGGUGUUGGACGGUUUGGUGGAGGCCCCCUCGGGGGCUCCUGCCCCUCCCAAAGACAAUGACGGCGGCCUCGUUGGACCCCCGGUACACUGAGUUCUUCACAGGACACGUAUCGGACACAUGGGUUUACGGGACACGGUCUGCCUCCCCUCAGGGAGAAUCUUUCUAAGGUUGACCUCGGAUCAGGUAGGGAUACCCGCUGAACUUAAGCAUAUCAAUAAGCGGAGGA
rnacentral:misc_RNA from 1 species